rnacentral:lncRNA from 1 species
AGAGAGUCAAAAUGUUACCUGUGAAGUUGAUCAUGUUGUAGAACAAUUUUUCAAUACAGAUAGGCCAUUCCUUUGCCUUGAUAUCCUCUGAACAUCAGAUUUGAAACAGAUGCAGUAAAUGUUAAUUUUACUGAGAGCAAAGUGGGGACAAUGUGUUGCUGUUUCACAGGACAGGGUGGUUGCAUGACCCACCUGUGCAGGAGCACUGGUUCUGUGGAGUGAAGGGAUACUGGAGCUGCAGAUACUGAAGUUGGGGAGGUGAUGAUGUGGUUACCUCAAGGGAAAAAAAGACAGUAGAAGGCAGGGGGGAGUUAGAAUUGAAAAAAAUUACCAGCUAAAUCCAUGAUUUGUAACAUCCUGAAGGGUUCUAACCAAUUUAAAAUUGUUUUUAGCUUUUUGUUGAGACCCAGGAUUGAAAGGCUACAACAGCUGCUGCCUAAGAAGAGCUUUGCUCCUGAGAAGGAUCAAUGCAUUGUCCAUGUGAGCUCCCCCCAGUGCAGGGUGGUUGUUCCUUUUCCCCUGUGUGGUUUCCACCAGGGGAAUGAAAUUCAAGACUCUUCAGACAGACUUUUCUAAUGCUGCAAAUGGAGGAGAGACUCUUGGCCCUGAUGGAAACCUGGGAAAAUGCUUUGGCUGGUGCCUCCUGGGAGGGUGUCAACAUCUGUCUGUGAAGCAUGGGCAGUGUGUGACCCCUCACAAGACAAUCAUCUAGUCAGGAGCCCUGUUUGUUGGCUGCUGGGAACAAUUCUCAGGUGUCUUACAUCAGAUACGGAUUUUUACUCACCGUGUCUUAGGGGCACAGUAGUAUGGGGUGACAGGAAAAGCAAGUAAGACAUCUGAGAAUGAGAAAUCCGGAGAUUUUGGCUUGGCUUUAUGGCUGUACCCCUGCAGUGGAGUUGCAUUUUUACAACCACUCAGAAGAGUCAGAAGCACUCAGGUGUGUUUCCAAGUACAUAGUAGCUGGAAACAAGGAGUAAAACCUUUCCAGAAGCCAGAAACUAUUGAUUUCAGUCAAAGGAUUUCUUCCUAAAAUGUACAGCCUGCUAGAGAAGAUUUCCAGUAGCCAUUUAAGGUGCCCUAGAGGUUACCUGAAGCGAAAUGUGAAAUAAAGACUGUGAUGGGGUGUUGCA